UCCAAAUCCUCCCUCUCCCUCGGUCUCGCCUCUCCUAUCGCGCGAUGUCGCUCGAUCCUCUCUAGGGUUCGCCGCCCGCCGUCGUCCCUCGCCGUCCUGCUCCGCUGUCGCCCCUCCCUCCACCUACCUCGCCCCUGCUCUAGGGUUCGCCUCCCGCCGCCGCCGCCCCCCGCCGCCCUGCUCCGUUGUUGCCCGUCCCUCCGCCUGCCUCGCCCCCUCCCCUACACUCACCCCUGCCCGAUCUGGAUCUGGAUGAGGUGUUGCCUCCCGUUCCUCUCAUCGCGUCCCUUGUGCCAGCCAUGGAAGAGGGGAGGAAGAAGGGGAGGGAGAGCAAAGAGGACCGCGGUGGCGAUGUGCCAACGUUGGCAGGACCAAGAUGUGUGAAUCAAGGAGUCCCUGCAUCUACCCGCGACCCUAGAAUAGCCGCUACCGCUAUGACCUUUCUCCAUGUCGUGAGCUUCGAAGAGUCUGGCGGCGCCAUCACGCCGGCCUCUGUCCAAGAGGGCAUCGCGCUCAACAGGCCCUCACUCCACGGCUCCGCCUGCGGAGGCCGUCGACGCCAUCGCAGGGUGCCGCUUUGAGGCCGGGGUUGAAGCUGCCACCGAGGAGGCCAUCUUGACGCAGAUGUUGCAGGCACUCCUGACGUGCAUGCGCUCCCCUGCGAUUAGUGACCAACACAUCUGCUCUGUCGUGAGCAUGUGCUUCGUGUCAUACAGGUCGCGGCCAAAGGCGAGCUCGUGCAGCGGUUCAGGUGCAUCCCAUAGGGGCAGCUCAAGUUUCUUUCAUAAUGCUAUUUGUUCUGAGUGCAUUGCAUAUUGAAGUAAACUGGAUGGGCUAAUCUUGAGUUCCUCCAUCAAGUUAUAUUACCUCGACAAAAAAAGGUGCAGGAAAACCAUAUAAAGCACUAUGGUACAUCUAAGGAGGCCUUCUCCGACAAGGAGGCUGCGGGUCGAGGUCGUCGGCAGCGACGAUGCCGCCAGCCGCAAGCACCGCCGCGAGGACGACAAAAGUGAGCACUUUACCCCCGCCAGGUCGAUCGCGUCUUCCCCCUUCUUUGCGCACAAAUUAAACCUGUGCGCAACUCGGAUCUGGAUUUGUGUGAUUUUCAGCUCUGCUUGUUCGUUAGGGAUUUGUGGUUAGGUAAAGGGAGAGCAAGAUAAUGGAGAUAAUUUGAAUAAAUAAAAAAGUUUGGAUUUCGAGCUGUGCGCCUGUACUCUACUAUGUAAUCCAGGCGACUAAUUUGGAUGCAGCACAUCUGUCGCCACAUAUUUGGUUGUAGCAGUAGUGUUCAGCAGACUGCAUCAAUAUACCAUUGCUAAAAAGAUUUACUCCCUCCGUCCCAAA